rnacentral:tRNA from 1 species
GGGGUUGUAGCUCAGCCGGUAGAGCGUUCGCUUCGCAUGUGAAAAGUCCCGGGUUCGAAUCCUGGCAGCUCCA